AGAAACACCAGAAACUUUGAGAAAGCUGAAUUUAAGGUGUCACCUUGGUGUCUGAGAGCCAGUUCUGAGCAGCAGAUGCAAGUAGCCAUGAAUUAAGCCUGGCCAUUCCCAUCCCACUAUCUCCAGUCUUAAAACAGCAACAUCGACAAAUAAACCAGCUUACUACUGACAACGAGAGAUAAUUCAGAUACCGUACAGAAUCUAUAAGGCUUCUGGUUGUUUCAUUUGGACACAAGUUGUACAUUUAUCAAGUAUACCCCACAGUCAUUUACUCCCUGAACUCUUGAGUCUUUUGUUAAUCUAUCUGUGUCUGGUCAGACGGAUCUUGGCCAGGCACAUGGCUUCUGCAUGGCAGCUCCUUUUGUGCACACUCUCUCAUGCAAGUGUUCCUGUUCCCUACUAUCUGGAAUUAUA
rnacentral:lncRNA from 1 species